rnacentral:rRNA from 1 species
CCUACGGGAGGCAGCAGUGAGGAAUAUUGGUCAAUGGGCGAGAGUCUGAACCAGCCAAGUAGCGUGAAGGAUGACUGCCCUAUGGGUUGUAAACUUCUUUUAUAUGGGAAUAAAGUGAUGCACGUGUGCCUUUUUGUAUGUACCUUAUGAAUAAGGAUCGGCUAACUCCGUGCCAGCAGCCGCGGUAAUACGGAGGAUCCGAGCGUUAUCCGGAUUUAUUGGGUUUAAAGGGAGCGUAGUUGGGUUGUUAAGUCAGUUGUGAAAGUUUGCGGCUCAACCGUAAAAUUGCAAUUGAUACUGGCAGUCUUGAGUACAGUUGAGGUAGGCGGAAUUCGUGGUGUAGCGGUGAAAUGCUUAGAUAUCACGAAGAACUCCGAUUGCGAAGGCAGCUUACUAGACUGCCACUGACAUUGAUGCUCGAAAGUGUGGGUAUCAAACAGGAUUAGAUACCCUUGUAGUC